UCUUUUUGCAGAUAAGAAAGCAGAGUAUAAAGGCAUCAUGCCACUUCCUCCAUGGCACUCCUACUAGUAUGUGGGGGAGACGAGAACAGAGCUCCCGAGACUUAACCACCUCACCUGGGUGCCCCUCACUGCUGAGUGCCCUGGAGGGUCCAUGUCACAAUGAUAGGACUUUGUUUGAAGAUUUUAGAUUCCUUUUGAUGCCAGUGAGCUGAUCUGACAGAAGAAGACAGGAGCAACAACUCAGAUUAAAGCAGUGUGAUUCUGAAGCAUAAUUAUGGGAGACGAGGAGUUGCUGAGGAUGAUUAGGUAGCACUGGGGUGUGGCCCUGGCAGUGAACAUGAAGCCCAAAGGAAAAGGCCUGCUCAGCAGAGGAGGUCAAGAAAUUAUGAGUCUAGGGUGUUGGGUGGGGCAUCUUCAUAAAUACUGAAGUCACGUAUGGUAUGAAUCACCCAAGAUGAGACAGGAAACAGGGUGGAGAGAAGGGCUGCAGAGACUGGCGGUUUGCGCUGUAAGGCUACGAGUGAAUGAAAUACAGAGGAAGUUGUGAGACCAAACUGACCAUAGGCACGAAGACCAAGCUUUCGUGGAACCACCUGUGUCCUCCGUGAGUGGACUGGGGAAGCCAGGAGUUCCGUGUCAUGAAGGUGCCCACACUGGCAGCAUUCCCACAGAGCUUUUUAAAGGUUGAACAUGUGAAAUGAUGAAAGCCUUUAAGUUCCCUCUGAGACCCAAC
rnacentral:lncRNA from 1 species